CCUACGGGUGGCAGCAGUGGGGAAUAUUGGACAAUGGGCGAAAGCCUGAUCCAGCCAUGCCGCGUGUGUGAAGAAGGCCUUCGGGUUGUAAAGCACUUUCAGUGGGGAAGAAAGCCUUGGGGCUAAUACCCUCGAGGAAGGACAUCACCCACAGAAGAAGCACCGGCUAACUCCGUGCCAGCAGCCGCGGUAAUACGGAGGGUGCGAGCGUUAAUCGGAAUUACUGGGCGUAAAGCGCGCGUAGGCGGUCUGAUAAGCCGGUUGUGAAAGCCCCGGGCUCAACCUGGGAACGGCAUCCGGAACUGUCAGGCUAGAGUGAAGGAGAGGAAGGUAGAAUUCCCGGUGUAGCGGUGAAAUGCGUAGAGAUCGGGAGGAAUACCAGUGGCGAAGGCGGCCUUCUGGACUGACACUGACGCUGAGGUGCGAAAGCGUGGGUAGCAAACAGGAUUAGAUACCCGAGUAGUC
rnacentral:rRNA from 1 species